AUAUUUUUCCCAGACGCGGAGGUUGGGGUCAUGGCGCCCCGAAGCCUCCUCCUGCUGCUCUCAGGGGCCCUGGCCCUGACCGAUACUUGGGCGGGCUCCCACUCCUUGAGGUAUUUCAGCACCGCUGUGUCGCGGCCCGGCCGCGGGGAGCCCCGCUACAUCGCCGUGGAGUACGUAGACGACACGCAAUUCCUGCGGUUCGACAGCGACGCCGCGAUUCCGAGGAUGGAGCCGCGGGAGCCGUGGGUGGAGCAAGAGGGGCCGCAGUAUUGGGAGUGGACCACAGGGUACGCCAAGGCCAACGCACAGACUGACCGAGUGGCCCUGAGGAACCUGCUCCGCCGCUACAACCAGAGCGAGGCUGGGUCUCACACCCUCCAGGGAAUGAAUGGCUGCGACAUGGGGCCCGACGGACGCCUCCUCCGCGGGUAUCACCAGCACGCGUACGACGGCAAGGAUUACAUCUCCCUGAACGAGGACCUGCGCUCCUGGACCGCGGCGGACACCGUGGCUCAGAUCACCCAGCGCUUCUAUGAGGCAGAGGAAUAUGCAGAGGAGUUCAGGACCUACCUGGAGGGCGAGUGCCUGGAGUUGCUCCGCAGAUACUUGGAGAAUGGGAAGGAGACGCUACAGCGCGCAGAUCCUCCAAAGGCACACGUUGCCCACCACCCCAUCUCUGACCAUGAGGCCACCCUGAGGUGCUGGGCCCUGGGCUUCUACCCUGCGGAGAUCACGCUGACCUGGCAGCGGGAUGGGGAGGAACAGACCCAGGACACAGAGCUUGUGGAGACCAGGCCUGCAGGGGAUGGAACCUUCCAGAAGUGGGCCGCUGUGGUGGUGCCUUCUGGAGAGGAACAGAGAUACACAUGCCAUGUGCAGCACGAGGGGCUGCCCCAGCCCCUCAUCCUGAGAUGGGAGCAGUCUCCCCAGCCCACCAUCCCCAUCGUGGGCAUCGUUGCUGGCCUUGUUGUCCUUGGAGCUGUGGUCACUGGAGCUGUGGUCGCUGCUGUGAUGUGGAGGAAGAAGAGCUCAGAUAGAAACAGAGGGAGCUACUCUCAGGCUGCAGCCUACUCAGUGGUCAGCGGAAACUUGAUGAUAACAUGGUGGUCAAGCUUAUUUCUCCUGGGGGUGCUCUUCCAAGGAUAUUUGGGCUGCCUCCGGAGUCACAGUGUCUUGGGCCGCCGGAAGCAUUUCUAAGGACUUUCAGUAAUGGAGAUUCUAUAUUAGCUUAGAGAGAAUUGUUUCAAAACAUCAGUAAUGUAUACUUGAAUGAAGGACAACAUGCAUGGAGAAAGGUGGACAAACCAUAAGUGGGCCGUGGAUUUUCACAAAGUGAACACUCAGGAAAGUUGACUCAUACUGGUGUCCAGUGAAGAAACCCAGGCGCAUAAGAGGGACAGUUGGAUCUCAGGUUUGUGCUUGAUCUGGAAAAGGAAGAGCAGAGACCACUAGGAGGCACCACUGCACUGCUCAUGAGCCCAGGAGGUGGAUGCCCAGGCUGAGCUCAGGGUGGAGAGAUGUCAUUGCUCAUCCUCCAGGUUCCAGGUGAAAACCCACCUGCCCAGCCCAUCUGCUUCUCCCUGGUUCUUCAAUUCUAGGGAGGACUGUCUUCUUCUCACCUCCCCGGACGAUGCUUCUUGACACAGGAAAGAGGAUGUGCUGCUAGGGUCAUCAUGUCCUGGUUUAUUGUGUUGUCAGUAGAAUGAAAUCAAAAUACAUACUCCAUAAAUAAUAAAAUAACCCAUAAUAAGUAAACAUUUACAAUUUACUCACACCAUUGAGGUUUCCUCCAGGUGUGAGCACAGCUGCAGACACACCUUGUCGCUUCAGUCAGGACACAGGACAGAGUAAAAUGGGAAGAAACCACAGUCACUGCAGAAAGGGCCCCCAUGGAAGAGGCCUGGCAGGGAGGCCAGCUGCCCCAGGGCCACCAUAUUUAGAGAUGACUUCCCCUUUCUAGGCAGGACUGGGAUUUUAAAAUUCUUUUUGUAUUCAUAGUUGUUCUGAAAUUGCAGGAUGAUGAGACCCAGCACUGGUGAGUUAUACUGUCUCUUUCUUCCCUAUUAAAUUCUGUGCCAAACAGCACCUUCAUAUAUUUAUCUCCUCUUCCUGGAGAGAAUAAAAACAAUGGAAAAAUUGAACCAUACAAACAUACUUUAAAUAUGUGCUGUCAGAAGUAGCUACUAAAGGAUUAAUUCCACCAAAGUGAGGGAAGGUUUGAAAAGAAAAACAUUGUAUACCCAUAUUCAAAGCAGCAUUAUUCACGAUAGCCAAGACAACACACACCAACACAUGAAUGAAGAAAAUGUGGUAUAUAUCGACAACGGAAUAUCAUUCAGCCUUAAGAAGGAAACCUGGUCACAGGCUGCAACAGGGAUGAACCUGAAGGACACUGCUAAGUAAAAUAAGCCAAUCACAAAGAAAACCCAAUACUGCACAUUUCCAUUUAUAUGAGGUGUCUAAACUGAAAGUAGACUAAUGGCUGCUAGGGGCUCGGUGAGGGGGAUGGAUGAAUGUUUGUUCAAUGGGCAUAGAGUUUCAGUGUUGCAAGAUGAAAAGUUCUAGAGAUCUGUUGCACAACUAUGUAUUUACAGUUAAUACUGUACUACUGUAUACUUUAAAAUAGUUAAGAUACCAAAUUUUACAUAAUGUAGUUUUUGGCCCAAGGAAAAGACUAAUUAGCCCUGUUACUAAUUUAGGGAAAAAGUACAUGAAUUCAUUAAAAAUAUAUUAGUAUGCGCUUACCUUAGAUACAGAAAACUAUGAGACAAAAAGAGAGAUCCCUGCUACCCCAGCUAUCACCCAUGAACCAGGAAAAUCAGCACCUCCUGAAACUAGACAGAAAGGCUCACAGGCCCAGCCUUGACAUGUUGAAUCAGUCUGCAUUUUGGCUGGAACCCAGGUGGCUCCACUGCAUGUAAAGCACCUUCCCAGAUAGUGAUGGAGGGAGAUCCUAGGACAGUGACUCUGCUCCACGGGGAGAAGCCUCCAAUCCAGAUGGGAGCAGCCAGAAGGGCCCAGGAGGGACAUUUCCAAGAAGAUAAAAUUAACAGAAUGUCCAAAGUGUCCAACGUCUUGAAAGAAUCAUACAAACAAAAGAGAUAUCAAACUUAAAUUAAUGAGAGUUAAUAAAAUAAACAAAAACAAAUACAAGUAUUAACUCCAAGAAGAACCAAUGUUGUACAGGCAGUGAAAAGUAGUCCAGUUGACAUAUGAGAGGAUUAGUCAUGGUAAAAGAAACAAGAGAUGGCUGAACUAAACAUAAUCACUAUAUAAAUAUACUGGGAAGAGUGAAAGAGAACAAGUACUCUUAACUGUUGCAUCCACCAUUGCGCUGUGCAACAAUGGGUGCAUCUGAAAAAAAUCAAGCAAUAAUAAUAAAGAAAUGGUAGUUAGAGAUACAGAAGUAAAGUCAAAAGAAUCAGCUAAAAAACUUGAAAGUGGUUGGCCCCUAGAAAGGCAGAAAUUGAGAAGAGGCAGAGAGGACUCUCAUUUUUCUCAAGAGAUUCUGCACAAAUAUUUGACUCUUUCAAUUAUGCACAAUUAUAAAUUUGAUUAAAAUAAAAACAAAAGCUUCAGUGAAUAUGCAAGUUUAUGUCUAAUGACAACCGCAUUCAACAAUGAUAUUUAAGGGUUAACUAAAAUGUGAAAAUACUUAAACAUGAAACAGGCAUGUAUAAAUGUGUUUUUGACACCAAACGUGAACACAAAUGUGAAAUAAUACACCUGUAAACACAUCUCUGGAUAGAUAGCCCACGAUUGAAUUCUCUACCCCACCUCCUUUACUGGUUGACCUGUGAACACAGGCAGGCAGUGGACCAGGACCCAACUAGGUUCCUUCAUCCUCUUGCUUCUAGGCAGGGCUUGCAUCCACUUUUGCUGCACAGAGGGCUCCCAUCCCUGCCUUGGUCCGUUUCACAGGUGAUCCCCUAACUCUCCCUGCCACCACUGCCUUACCUGAGUGGAGCUGAGGCUACCCUGACCAAGAAGAGCACCACCCAUCUGUGCCCCAAGGCCAGAAAGUUAAAAGGAACCUCACAACAGGGUCAGGAACUAUCCCACCUCCCCACUUACCAAUCAGUCUGAACUGAUAAUGGGAGAUGCUGAUACUUGCUUUACUCAUCCUCAUUCCCAGUUCAUUUAUUCUUCAUUAAUUCAGUCCAAUCUCCCCAGUGGUCACUUAACCCCAGAAGCAGACUGAUCUCUAUUCUUCUUAAUCAGGAAAGUCCAAAGCACUCCCUGUCCUCUCCCUCAUAUCAGACUUCAGCUCUGCAUCUGCAAGAUGCAGAGGUCCUCUGCAAGGCAGGUGUCUUCCCACAGGGUCAGCCCCUAAACACUGGCUGCAGAUGUCCCCCUCCAUCCCUUCCCAGCCCUUUCUGUGUUGCUGUGAAUCGUCCAUCACCGAGAACUGGUGGGGAGAUGCGGGGGAGGUGGGGAGAUUUCUUUGUGCUGUGUCAAGGCAUCAAGACAGACCUCUCCUUCUCUCUUGAACCUCAUACUCUAUCCCUUCCCAGACACUUGAAAUAAAACACAGACCAGAAAUGUCUA